rnacentral:rRNA from 1 species
UACGUAGGGUGCAAGCGUUGUCCGGAAUUAUUGGGCGUAAAGAGCUCGUAGGCGGUUUGUCGCGUCGGCUGUGAAAACCUGGGGCUCAACCCCGGGCCUGCAGCCGAUACGGGCAAACUAGAAUUCGGUAGGGGAGACUGGAAUUCCUGGUGUAGCGGUGAAAUUCGCAGAUAUCAGGAGGAACACCGGUGGCGAAGGCGGGUCUCUGGGCCGAUAUUGACGCUGAGGAGCGAAAGCGUGGGGAGCAAACAGG